rnacentral:lncRNA from 1 species
AUAAAUAAAAUAAGAAAAAAAUCACCACUCUGACACAGGCUAGUUGCACUUUGUUCUCUCCUUAGCCAGGGUCCCCUCACCUCCUCUUGCUCCCUUCCUUUCCCUGUCCCUUGUCAUCUAUCCGCCCCCUUCUGAGGUUUUAAGAGUGUUUCUGCUGCUGGUGGCUGUCAUUUGCUAUGGUAGGACAGGAUUCAGAGGAUGUGCCUUGGAAUAAUCAAAGCAAAGUAUGUUUUUCUACUCCGUUGUUUUCUUAAAAGCCUUGUCUCUAACUGUGGCCACUACCAUGAAGAGCCCCUAUAAUUGACUCCUCUGUAACUCUGACCUGUCUCAUAGCAAGCUCUUCACACCCACCCUAGGGUCCUGAGAAAAGUUGGAAAUAUGGGUUCUUAAGGCCAGCUCCUGGCAAUGCUGAGACUCAGUGUUGGAAUCCCAUUACCCAUUGAAUGGCUUCCAGCCUAGGCUUUGUGAGCCUUUGCCAAGGGCAUGCAGGCUCAAGAGUGCUGUCAGACCCUGCAGAGGCCAAACCCGUCUUCACUGCUUACGUGUUCGCAUUUCUGCCUCUGAAAAUUCUGUAAUUUUCAAUUACAUAAAUAGGUUUUCUGUUGUACUCCUUUUCUGUGCACGUGUUGAUUUUAGAGACAAGCUUAUUAUAGAUUCAUAGUAAGAGCUUAGGAGGGAGGAAGAGGAGAGAGUGCACAGAGCUGUAUAGCAGGAGGGACCCCAGGUCUUCUUGGGGUUCCCAGUUUCAGAGAGUUAGGGUCCGUGACUGCCUUGUUAGGGAACAUGGCAGCAGACAAGCAUGGCUCUGGAGCAAUAGCUGAAAGCUCACAUCUUGAGACACAACCUCAAGACACAGACACUGGGAAUGUCUUUUGAAACCUCAAAGCAAUGACAAACCUCCUCCAAGAAAGCCACGCCUCUUAAGCCUUGCCAAACAGUUCCACCAAAUGGGGACCAAGUAUUCAAAGAUGUGGGCCUCUGGGGGUUGUUUUUCCUGAAACCACCACAGCUACAUUCAGGAAAUUUUUUAAAAAAAGAUUACCUUGUACCUUAUAAUUCUAUCAGCAGGUCAUUAUUACUGAGAUACAAGUAAAAGCUUAUGAUCACACCUUUUUCUGGGUCUGUGUUUGUCUGCCUGAACUCAGAUUGAUUGCAUUAACCUUUCUGUUAUUUGGAAAUAAAUCUUUUUAUCUAUAGGCUAGAGGUUCUGGUUCCUAUUCACGUAAUUGGACUUUCCUUCCACACAGUUAAUCUGUUAGAGGCAAAAUGCCAUGUAGAUAAAUGUGACUGGCUCCUAUGACAUCUCUGCCAGAAUUCUGCCAGAGCCUCCAAUAAACCAUGAGUUCAUUUCUAGACUGUACGUACUGUCUAUAAAAGCCCACCAGGUUUUAGAGUUGCUUCAGCAGCUACCUUUAGAUUGUUCGGUGCUGAAACUGUCCAGGUUGUAGGUCAUAGGUCAGUAGUUGAGUUCUUCGAGAACUGGCAAAUUCGAAACAUCCAGUAGAUGUAUAAGGUAUAAGUACAAUACCAUUAUUAUGAUCCUGAAUCUCCACGUUAACUCUCUUCUGAUAAGUUUUAUGCAGUUUGUCUAAUUU